CCUCUACAUUUGAUUUGUACCCUAAAGUUCAAAGUGGGGAUACAGCCUUGACAUGGGCACUGUGUAAAGAGAAAGAAAGAAAAUGACUGCUGUUGAUAUGUGUCCUGACCAAAAAACUCAAGGAUGUCAAAUAGCAUUACACUAUACCUCAUCACUGCUCCAUCUAUUGGGGAAUGAGGGACGGAGCUUCUUGAUGCACACAAUCUCCCGCAUGUCCUCGUAGGAGGGGUCAGUGGGCACAAGAUCAUGAUAUGGAAGCUGGUAUUCUUCAACUAUUCCUGAAAGAAACAUUUCCCAAAUUUCAGCAGAGGGAGCCCAGACCCACUUCCUGAGCUCUGAGACUGUUCAAUCAAGUCUUUCAGGGAUUCCCCUGGAGGAAUUUCAUAAGCCAGGGGGAAAAAAGUGAUGUUGGGAAGAAAUGUGAAGCAGACAAAGUUUAAAUUCUUCCGACUUACCUGAAGUAACAGAAUAUGAUGAUGAGUACCAGGAGUAUACUGCAAACAGUCACUGAGAUCAGCAAGGCCUUAUGGUGAAUGUUUCCUUCAACAAAAUCUGGUUUAAAGAUUAAAAAAAAAGCUUUGUACAAUGGCUGUAUUUUUGUCUUAGGAGUCAACACUACUCUCUCACACCUGAAAUGUCUUUCACAUUAGGUUGGGUGUAAAAUACAUUCUGCCUUCCUGGAUUUAGUUUCACAUGUAAAAAGACAUACAAGAGUUUAUAAAUAUAUUAAGCAACA